rnacentral:rRNA from 1 species
UACAGAGGUCUCAAGCGUUGUUCGGAUUCAUUGGGCGUAAAGCGUGCGCAGGCGGUUCGUUGUGUCUGAUGUGAAAGCCCCGGGCUUAACCUGGGAAUGGCAUUGGAAACUGGCGAGCUGGAGUGUGGCAGAGGGGGGUGGAAUUCCGCGUGUAGCAGUGAAAUGCGUAGAGAUGCGGAGGAACACCGAUGGCGAAGGCAGCCCCCUGGGCUGACACUGACGCUCAGGCACGAAAGCGUGGGGAGCAAACAGG